GAUGAACGCUGGCGGCGUGCCUAACACAUGCAAGUCGAGCGGCAGCGAGGGGUGCUUGCACCCUGUCGGCGAGCGGCGGACGGCUGAGUAACGCGUAGGAACGUGCCCCAAAGUGAGGAAUAACUGCCCGAAAGGGUAGCUAAUACCGCAUAUUAUCUUCGGAUCAAAGGAUUUAUCCGCUUUGGGAGCGGCUCGCGUCGGAUUAGGUAGUUGGUGAGGUAAUGGCUCACCAAGCCGACGAUCCGUAGCUGGUCUGAGAGGAUGACCAGCCAGACUGGAACUGAGACACGGUCCAGACUCCUACGGGAGGCAGCAGUGAGGAAUCUUCCACAAUGGGCGAAAGCCUGAUGGAGCAACGCCGCGUGCAGGACGAAGGCCUUCGGGUUGUAAACUGCUUUUAUAAGUGAGGAAUAUGACGGUAACUUAUGAAUAAGGAUCGGCUAACUACGUG
rnacentral:rRNA from 1 species